rnacentral:ncRNA from 1 species
CAUAGUGAGGUGGAAUCUGAAGGAAGUUUAAGGCAAACUUCCGGUCUGACGAACAGAAAUCUCAUAAGGCAUGUGUAUGUCGGGUAAGGUUGUUUAACAAGCCAAAGCCCUAAACUAUCCGGAGACAUACAGUGUAAAUGAGGCAGACAUAUGGAAGGAAAGAUUG